rnacentral:rRNA from 1 species
AGGGAAUAUUGGACAAUGGGGGCAACCCUGAUCCAGCCAUGCCGCGUGAGUGAAGAAGGCCCUCGGGUUGUAAAGCUCUUUUGUCCGGAAAGAAAAGCUUCGGGUUAAUACCCCGGGGUUCUGACGGUACCGGAAGAAUAAGCACCGGCUAACUUCGUGCCAGCAGCCGCGGUAAUACGAAGGGUGCAAGCGUUACUCGGAAUUACUGGGCGUAAAGCGUGCGUAGGUGGUUGUUUAAGUCUGAAGUGAAAGCCCUGGGCUCAACCUGGGAAUGGCAUUGGAAACUGGGCAGCUAGAGUGCGGUAGAGGGUAGUGGAAUUCCCGGUGUAGCAGUGAAAUGCGUAGAGAUGUGGAGGAACACCGAUGGCGAAGGCAGCCCCCUGGGCCUGUACUGACGCUCAUGCACGAAAGCGUGGGGAGCAAACA